ACUGGGAUUACCUUAGUAACGGCGAGUGAAGCGGUAAAAGCUCAAAUUUGAAAUCUGGUACUUUCAGUGCCCGAGUUGUAAUUUGUAGAAUUUGUCUUUGAUUAGGUCCUUGUCUAUGUUCCUUGGAACAGGACGUCAUAGAGGGUGAGAAUCCCGUUUGGCGAGGAUACCUUUUCUCUGUAAGACUUUUUCGAAGAGUCGAGUUGUUUGGGAAUGCAGCUCAAAGUGGGUGGUAAAUUCCAUCUAAAGCUAAAUAUUGGCGAGAGACCGAUAGCGAACAAGUACAGUGAUGGAAAGAUGAAAAGAACUUUGAAAAGAGAGUGAAAAAGUACGUGAAAUUGUUGAAAGGGAAGGGCAUUUGAUCAGACAUGGUGUUUUUUGCAUGCACUCGCCUCUCGUGGGCUUGGGCCUCUCAAAAAUUUCACUGGGCCAACAUCAAUUCUGGCAGCAGGAUAAAUCAUUAAGAAUGUAGCUACUUCGGUAGUGUUAUAGCUUUUUGGAAUACUGUUAGCCGGGAUUGAGGACUGCGCUUCGGCAAG
rnacentral:rRNA from 1 species